rnacentral:lncRNA from 1 species
CCGUACUCCAUAAGCCAUUGUACAAUCUCGCCAUUCUACCAACGUCGAUGGACUGCCCGUGCUCCAUGCGAGGUAUGCCUGAUCUCAUGCACAUCUAAAUUCGGUUCUGUCAUUAUGAAAAAGACAUAUCUUUCACGUGUGUCUACAGCCGCAACUGCUAUCAUCAUCACCUUGCCGAUAUACAGCCAGUCUGCACUCUUUAAGCCUGAUAAAUUCACCAUAAAGUAGGCUAUCUCGAGAAAAAAAAUAUGCACACUAGAGAGUACUUCAUAGUGGCUCAUGGUAGUUCCAAUGUCUAGAGAAAGUAACUAUCCAAUGUUAUACAUGAAAGAGUUGACUGGAGCUGCCGCAAGAUCUUGUGCUUUGUACGCGGAAAGUUUUCUUGAGUUCACUUUUCCAAAGCUAGCAGCAGUACUUGAUGCUGAAAUACCAAUCUGACAUAAAGAGAUAGAGUCUUUGUUAUUAAAGGGCAAUCAACCAUCAUCGUUGUCGUCGUGAUGGUUCAACUCGCCUCCCCUCCCUCGCUCGCUCUCCCUCGUGCUUAUGGCUGCCGGUCACUUUCCUGAGAGCUCACCUUGGUCCUCCUCUACCAUGCGCCCACCUCCUCGCCCAAGCACCGCACACACAUAGAUUACGGUAUCAGCCGCGUCGACGAGGACAAUGGGGUCGGGGACCUGGACCUCGAUCUCGGUCAUCCCGCUCAUCUUUGGCAUGUACAAAAUCUAUGCGAACGCCACAUCAGACUAGGAUAGGUCAGAUAACAACAGCGUGUGCUCAUGGCUAGCUCAUCCCGAGUAUUUUCUGUAUGACGUCCCGCCGCCGUUGUGUGUGCUGACGCUGACGCUGUACUCAACAUGUUCUUCAGCAAAGGAACGAGGAAGACCGACGUCACCUAUCGCCCCGUCCUGUCUAGGAUCUACAUCCUCUCCUCCAAGGCUCCAACUACGUCCUCAAUGAACCAAACCAAACCGCUACCAGUACACACCAAACACCAUGUGGGUAACGAACCUUUCUAUUCGGUGAUGCAAGCUGCGUUCAAUGGAACCACUCUUCCAGCAGGAAAAUUUCCAUCCCUGUCUCUUUAUAUGCCUUGUUGUAUUUUUUACAUCAUUGUCUUCUUUUUACAAUGCUUCUCUUUGUUUCUAUCACUUUAUGAUGAUGUAACCUGCUGUUGUUGUAUCAAUAAAAGUGAUUUGCUAAUUUUGGAAUAAAACUAUCAUGUGUGCAGUUUCUUGUAUGGUAGAAGAUAGAUAGAAUUGACUUUGUGUAUGUUUGGAUUGUUGUUUGGAUUUUGAUGUUGCAGGGGCUAUUUCCUUCCUGGUGAGACUGGCUUGUUUGUGUAUUCCCUCUUAAUGAUGAUCUUCCUGUAUGUACGGAUUAUUAGUAAGUGACGUGUCAAGCUUUAUGACUUGAUUUAUUAGUUGUAGGAGCACUAUAUCUUUGAUAAUUCAUUCACUCGGUUUAUUGUGUGCUACAUGAAAAGUAACUAAAGAAAAUAAAGAAAACCGAUUUAUAUAAUAACUAUUAAGUUGAUGUAAUCAAUGAUGUUUUCUCUUUGUUCC